GGCUUGGGUGGUACGGGCUUCUUGUGGAAGUGGUCAAAGAAGUCCUUCUCCUUCUUGUGGAAGUGGUCGAGGAUGGGGUGCUCUGGCUCUGGCUUCGGCUUGGGCGGCUCUGGCUUGGGAUCCGGCUUCGGUGGCACCGGCUUCUUAUGGAAGUGGUCGAUGAUCUUCUUCUUGAUGGGGCCGCAGAUGGUCGCCGACGCACACAAAGCCGACGGAUAGCUGGUCUUGCCAGCGACGGUGACAAAGGUGCCCUCCGACAAUGGCACGAUCUUGGAUGGCUCUUGUCCGGGGCAUGGCUCGUUGGUCGCGCCAUGGAGCUGUGCGACGCAGUCGGAGCUGUGGAGGUCGGCGUCGAGGGGGAUGCUGAAGACGCCGGUACCGUCGAGCUUUCCGGUGGCCUUGCUCUCGUACUCACCAUUGCCGUUC
rnacentral:misc_RNA from 1 species